UACGGAGGGGGCUAGCGUUGUUCGGAUUUACUGGGCGUAAAGCGCACGUAGGCGGAUUCUUAAGUCAGGGGUGAAAUCCCGAGGCUCAACCUCGGAACUGCCUUUGAUACUGGGGAUCUCGAGUUCGGGAGAGGUGAGUGGAAUUGCGAGUGUAGAGGUGAAAUUCGUAGAUAUUCGCAAGAACACCAGUGGCGAAGGCGGCUCACUGGCCCGAUACUGACGCUGAGGUGCGAAAGCGUGGGGAGCAAACAGG
rnacentral:rRNA from 1 species